rfam:Stegodyphus mimosarum contig125047, whole genome shotgun sequence.
GCCUUCGAGGUACAAUGGUCAGCACACUCAGCGCGUAUUCGAGAGGUCAGAGGUUCGAGUCCCCGCGAGGGCA